GACGAACGCUGGCGGCGUGCCUAACACAUGCAAGUCGAGCGGGAUCCAUCCGGUAGCAAUACUGGUGAAGAUCUAGCGGCGAACGGGUGAGUAACACGUGAGAAACCUGCCCCAGACUCUGGGAUAACACGAGGAAACUCGUGCUAAUACCGGAUACCUUCUUUUGGUCGCAUGGCCAGCUGAAGAAAGAUUUAUCGGUUUGGGAGGGUCUCGCGGCCUAUCAGCUAGUUGGCGGGGUAACGGCCCACCAAGGCAUCGACGGGUAGCUGGUCUGAGAGGAGGAUCAGCCACACUGGGACUGAGAAACGGCCCAGACUCCUACGGGAGGCAGCAGUGGGGAAUCUUGCGCAAUGGGCGAAAGCCUGACGCAGCAACGCCGCGUGCGGGAUGAAGGCCUUCGGGUUGUAAACCGCUUUCAGUAGGGAAGAAAUUGACGGUACCUACAGAAGAAGCCCCGGCCAACUACGUGCCAGCAGCCGCCGCUG
rnacentral:rRNA from 1 species